rnacentral:rRNA from 1 species
AGAAUCAACGCUGGCGGCGUGCCUAACACAUGCAAGUCGAACGAGAAAGUGGAGCAAUCCACGAGUAAAGUGGCGCACGGGUGAGUAACACGUGACUAACCUACCCUUGAGUGGGGGAUAACCUAGAGAAAUCUGGGCUAAUACCGCAUAAUACCUUCGGGUCAAAGGAGCAAUUCGCUUAAGGAGGGGGUCGCGGCCGAUUAGUUAGUUGGCGGGGUAAUGGCCCACCAAGACUAUGAUCGGUAUCCGGCCUGAGAGGGCGCACGGACACACUGGAACUGAAACACGGUCCAGACUCCUACGGGAGGCAGCAGUGGGGAAUUUUGCGCAAUGGGGGAAACCCUGACGCAGCAACGCCGCGUGGAGGAUGAAGUCCCUUGGGACGUAAACUCCUUUCGAUCGGGACGAUAAUGACGGUACCGAGAGAAGAAGCCCCGGCUAACUUCGUGCCAGCAGCCGC